AAAAAAUUAAACUCGAAGAGAAAGAAAGAAAGAGACCCUGGAAGAGAACGAGCGAUCUCCUCUGCACUACCGGUGACUACACUGAAGAGCAAGCACUGAGUUUCUCUUCCUAGUUCUUACUCUCAGCAUCAGCAGACAAAAGAUGAGAGCGGAAGUCCCCUUAGAGCCGCCCUGUCACUGCAGUCAGAUCAUCAGAACAGCCAUUUACUGUCUACAAUGUACAACUAUACAAAGAUAAUCUUCUGUUGGUUGGUUCCUGUCUGGUGACUUUACUAGCUAUCUGUAUGUCACACAGGAUGAAGAGCAAAAACAGAUGGGUUGGAGAAUUCCUAACAGUGUCAAAAAAUAAAUAAAUAAAAUAAAAUAAAAUAAAAUAAA